AAAGGAAUAGACGGGGACCCGCACAAGCAGCGGAGCAUGUGGUUUAAUUCGAAGCAACGCGAAGAACCUUACCAGGGCUUGACAUCCCUCUGCCCGAUCUAGAGAUAGGUCCUUCCCUUCGGGGACAGAGGAGACAGGUGGUGCAUGGUUGUCGUCAGCUCGUGUCGUGAGAUGUUGGGUUAAGUCCCGCAACGAGCGCAACCCUUGCCUUUAGUUGCUAACAGGUAAUGCUGAGCACUCUAGAGGGACUGCCGAUGACAAAUCGGAGGAAGGUGGGGAUGACGUCAAAUCAUCAUGCCCUUUAUGUCCUGGGCUACACACGUGCUACAAUGGUCGGUACAACGAGUAGCCACCUAGCGAUAGGGAGCCAAUCUCUAAAAGCCGAUCCCAGUUCGGAUUGCAGGCUGCAACUCGCCUGCAUGAAGCCGGAGUUGCUAGUAAUCGCGGAUCAGCAUGCCGCGGUGAAUGCGUUCCCGGGUCUUGUACACACCGCCCGU
rnacentral:rRNA from 1 species